GAUGAAGAACGUAGCGAAAUGCGAUACUUGGUGUGAAUUGCAGAAUCCCGUGAACCAUCGAGUCUUUGAACGCAAGUUGCGCCCGAAGCCAUUAGGCCGAGGGCACGCCUGCCUGGGCGUCACACGUCGUUGCCCCCCCAUCUACUCCUUCGGGAUUGCGGGGGGCGGAUGAUGGCCUCUCGUGCGCCUCGUCGCGCGGUUGGCCUAAAUGCCAAGUCCUCGGCGACGCACGCCACGACAAUCGGUGGUUGCGAAACCUCGGUUGCCUGUCGUGUGCGGUCGUCGCGCAUCGAGGGCUCGAAAAAAUUGCCGGGCUUCGGCUCGACUUUCAACGCGACCCCAGGUCAGGCGGGGUUACCCGCUGAAUUUAAGCAUAUAAUAAGCGGAGG
rnacentral:misc_RNA from 1 species